CAGCCUGGCCGGCUCAGUGGGUACAGCAUGGGAUGAUUGAUCUUGGGGUUGUGAGUUCAAGCCCCAGGUCGGGCAUGGAGCCUGCUU